CAGUCGCCGCGGGAAUACGUAGGUGGCAAGCGUUGUCCGGAAUUAUUGGGCGUAAAGGGCUCGCAGGCGGUUUCUUAAGUCUGAUGUGAAAGCCCCCGGCUCAACCGGGGAGGGUCAUUAGAAACUGGGAAACUUGGGUGCAGAAGAGGAGAGUGGAAUUCCACGUGUAGCGGUGAAAUGCGUAGAGAUGUGGAGGAACACCAGUGGCGAAGGCGACUCUCUGGUCUGUAACUGACGCUGAGGAGCGAAAGCGUGGGGAGCGAACAGGAUUAGAUACCCCCGUAGUCCCUGUCUCUUAUAC
rnacentral:rRNA from 1 species